rnacentral:rRNA from 1 species
CCAGACUCCUACGGGAGGCAGCAGUGAGGAAUAUUGGUCAAUGGGCGGGAGCCUGAACCAGCCAAGUCGCGUGAGGGAAGACGGUCCUAUGGAUUGUAAACCUCUUUAGGCGGGGAGCAAUGCCGGGCACGCGUGCCCGGAGGGAGAGUACCCGCAGAAUAAGCAUCGGCUAACUCCGUGCCAGCAGCCGCGGUAAUACGGAGGAUGCGAGCGUUAUCCGGAUUUAUUGGGUUUAAAGGGUGCGCAGGCGGAAGAUCAAGUCAGGGGUAAAAUUGAGAGGCUCAACCUCUGCGAGCCGUUGAAACUGGUUUUCUUGAGUGAGCGAGAAGUAUGCGGAAUGCGUGGUGUAGCGGUGAAAUGCAUAGAUAUCGCGCAGAACUCCGAUUGCGAAGGCAGCAUGCCGGCUCCACACUGACGCUGAGGCACGAAAGCGUGGGUAUCGAACAGGAUUAGAUACCCUGGUAUA